UCGUGGGUUCCCAGAUGACGUCGGUACAAGGAGAUAUGGACGUUUUAAGGUCGAAAGGUCAGUGGGCUAGGCCCAACUCGUGACCAACCGGGUUGGCCCAAAAAAAAAAAAGAUAAAAGGGGAGAAAAUUUAGGCCCAAAAGAGGGGUGGCCGGCCAUAUGGCCCAAGCCCAUGGUAAUUCAUUAAUCCAUGUAUUAAAUGAGACAUUAGACCACAAUUCUUUCAUUUUCAAGAAUCUUCAAGAACAAAAUUGAGAGAAAAAGAAGAGCAAAAACUUGAAGGACCACACGGCCAAGUCCUUGGAAAAUUAGGUCCUCAAAAUCUUCCUCCAAAAAUUAUUAGCUUGUGGUUUUCCUACUCAAUUAAGGGUCCUUUACAACUUGGUGUAGUUGUUUUGGAAGAAGGAGCACUUAUUUCUUCAAGUUGACAACUUGUUCAAGUGAAGAAAUUUGUAGAAAAAGGUUUUGGACGAAACGGGAUUUGAGUUUUGGCAAGCGUAAAGGGCAAGAAAGGUACCGACGACAGGUUUGCUGAUCCGUCCGCUUAGGAUCUUAUUCUCCUAUUUUGGAGCGCUCUCUUAUCCAGAGCCCAUCUUUUGGUAUAGUCUGUCACUACUGUAUAUAUAUAUUCUCGUUCAUGGGUACGGCGGGGCCCUGUCCCGUCAUAUGAUUCUGUCGGUCUGUUUAGAGGUCUGUGGACAUGUUUGUGGGUUGGGGUCUUUCUGUACAGUUGCGUGUGUAUGUUGUGUUUGGGCGAUCUCAUUCGC